UACGUAGGGGGCAAGCGUUGUCCGGAUUUAUUGGGCGUAAAGAGCGUGUAGGCGGCCAUACAGGUCCGUUGUGAAAACUGGAGGCUUAACCUCCAGACGUCGAUGGAAACCGUAUGCUAGAGUCCGGAAGAGGAGAGUGGAAUUCCUGGUGUAGCGGUGAAAUGCGCAGAUAUCAGGAGGAACACCGGUGGCGAAGGCGGGACUCUGGGCCGAUACUGACGCUGAGGAGCGAAAGCGUGGGGAGCGAACAGG
rnacentral:rRNA from 1 species